rnacentral:rRNA from 2 species
GUGCCUUCGGGAACUCUGAGACAGGUGCUGCAUGGCUGUCGUCAGCUCGUGUUGUGAAAUGUUGGGUUAAGUCCCGCAACGAGCGCAACCCUUAUCCUUUGUUGCCAGCGAUUCGGUCGGGAACUCAAAGGAGACUGCCGGUGAUAAACCGGAGGAAGGUGGGGAUGACGUCAAGUCAUCAUGGCCCUUACGAGUAGGGCUACACACGUGCUACAAUGGCGUAUACAAAGAGAAGCGACCUCGCGAGAGCAAGCGGACCUCAUAAAGUACGUCGUAGUCCGGAUUGGAGUCUGCAACUCGACUCCAUGAAGUCGGAAUCGCUAGUAAUCGUAGAUCAGAAUGCUACGGUGAAUACGUUCCCGGGCCUUGUACACACCGCCCGUCACACCAUGGGAGUGGGUUGCAAAAGAAGUAGGUAGCUUAACCUUCGGGAGGGCGCUUACCACUUUGUGAUUCAUGACUGGGGUGAAGUCGUAACAAGGUAACCGUAGGGGAACCUGCGGUUGGAUCACCUCCUUACCAAGAAG